UACAGAGGAGCCAAGCGUUUGUCCGGAUUCACUGGGUGUAAAGCGCGCGCAGGCGGAUUGGUCAGUCCGGGGGUGAAAUCUCACGGCUCAACUGUGAGCGGUCCCCCGGAUACUGCCAGUCUCGAGGUGUCUAGAGGAGAGCGGAAUUCCCGGUGUAGUGGUGGAAUGCGUAGAUAUUAGGAAGAACACCAGUGGCGAAGGCGGCUCACUGGCCCGGUACUGACGCUGAGGUGCGAAAGCGUGGGGAGCAAACAGG
rnacentral:rRNA from 1 species